rnacentral:lncRNA from 1 species
AUCAUCCACCACUUUAAUGAGGAUACAUUAAGGGUGCGUUUGGUUCGCGCUAUUUUUUUAAAAUUCCUAAUAAUUCAAUAGGAAUAAAAAAAUAUGACAGUGUUUGGCUAAACGCACUAAGUAAUCUAGUUGGUAAUAUUAGAUUUACUUGGAAAUGAGAUUCAUCCCAAAGUACUAAUCUCAUUCCCUUGAGGGAGGGUCGGUAUCCUCAUAUUAAUGGAUUGGGGUAAUCAUAAUAUGUCUAAUCUCUUUCUUUCUCCCUACCCGCCGCCGGCUAGUUGGUAUUAUUUUUCUUUACACUCUAACCUCAUAUCUCUCUCUAAACUUUUUUUUUCUCUCUAAACUAAGCUCUCUUUCCCCCUCUUUUUCUAAAAUCUCAACUCUCUCACUCCCUCUAAUCUCGACUCUAUUUCUCUUCCUAUUUCUUUAAUUAUGCUCUCUCUCUCUGAUCUAUAUUCUCUCUCUCCCUUUUUCUAAAAAGAUGUUGAAAUUUUUGGUGGCUGUUGGUAGCCGAAUUUCUCGACCCUUGACUCAGUCAAAGAUCAUCCUCGG